CUAUUCAGUUGCUAGGAUUCAUCUCUCAUAUUUCAGCUUUGAAGUUUUUAUCUUUGUUUUCUGGCUUUACUUUUAACCACCAAAUUCUACAUUACUGGGGACAGGAAGUAUCCUAGAACUGUGGAGGCCUCAAGGUUCCAGCCGAGAACUUACUGCUGCUCUCCAUGGUUCCAGUAGGAGCCCCCCGCAGUCCUGUAUUUCAGAACUCUCGAAAAGAAAGGCAAGAUGUCAAGGAUACAGACAGAAAGCUGCUGAGAGCAAGCUGCUGGAACAGACACUUCCCCAGGAACUGAAUCGGCCAGAACCUUGAGCUUGGACUUUCCCAGGCACCAGGA